rnacentral:rRNA from 1 species
GACGAAGGGAGCAAGCGUUGUUCGGAUUUACUGGGCGUAAAGCGCGUGCAGGCGGUUUGUUAAGUUAGAUGUGAAAGCCCAAGGCUCAACCUUGGAAUUGCAUUUAAGACUGGCAGACUUGAGUAUUGGAGAGGUAAGCGGAAUUCCCAGUGUAGCGGUGAAAUGCGUAGAUAUUGGGAGGAACACCGAUGGCGUAGGCAGCUUACUGGCCAAUUACUGACGCUGAGGCGCGAAAGCGUGGGGAGCAAACAGG